rnacentral:rRNA from 1 species
AUUGAACGCUGGCGGCAGGCCUAACACAUGCAAGUCGAACGAGUGGCGGACGGGUGAGUCAUGUCUGGGAAACUGCCUGAUGUAGGGGGAUAACUACUGGAAACGGUAGCUAAUACCGCAUACCAUCCGAUAGGCCCAGAUGGGAUUAGCUAGUAGGUGGGGUAACGGCUCACCUAGGCGACGAUCGCUAGCUGGUCUGAGAGGAUGACCGGCCACACUGGGACUGAGACACGGGCCAGACGCCUACGGGAGGCAGCAGUGGGGAAUAUUGCACAAUGGGCGCAAGCCUGAUGCAGCCAUGCCGCGUGUAUGAAGAAGGCCGUCGGGUUGUAAAGUACUUUCAGCGGGGAGGCGUUACUUGCAGAAGAAGCACCGGCUAACUCCGUGCCAGCAGCCGCGGUAAUAC